GGGGAAGGGGAAUGGGGGAGAGAAUUACAAUGUGAGGAAUCGAAUCCUCACCAACAAGGUGGAGGUUCAGGUAACUAACCAACUAAACAUAAUAGAAAGUAUGAGAUUUAGAAUGACCAAGGGUAAAACGGACUUUUUAAUUUAUAUAUUCAGGGGCAAAAUGGAAAUAAACAUAAUAAUAUCAUAAGUGGUGCUCUUCUUCACUAUGGUCCCAACAAAGUAUGAGACUUACCCUGUUAUCAUAAGCGGUG
rnacentral:lncRNA from 1 species